rfam:Citrus sinensis cultivar Ridge Pineapple sweet orange scaffold00833_contig_6, whole genome shotgun sequence.
AUACCAUGACAAAGACAUCUCCUGAGUAACUUCUUGAAUCUUUUCCAUGCAUCAUACAAGCUAUCAUCUUUAAAUUGAGGGAAAGAUGUGAUUGCAUUCCUCGAUUUU